rnacentral:lncRNA from 1 species
AAAUCUUAAUUAAACAUUAACCAAAUCCUAAGUCAAAUUUCAAUUGAAAUCCUAAUAAAAUCUUAACCAAAUUCUAUAUGAAAUCCUAAUUAAAUCCUAAAUAAAUCCUAAAUCCUAAAAAAUCUUGAAAAAAUCUUAGUCAACUUCUAGUUAAGUUUUAAAUCAAAUUCCAAAAAAAUCCUAAUCCUAAUCAAAUUCUAGACCAAAUCCUAAGUCCUAACUAAACCGUAGACAAAUCCUAAAUCAAA